rnacentral:lncRNA from 1 species
AGCGUGCUGCGCGCACUCUGCCUCUUAUGCUCCCUGCGCUCCAAGUGCAGCUGCUAUAAAUCAUUAAGUUAAUCAUCCUUUGGCCUGGAGAGCCGAGACAGACUGGGGCUUGCGGUUCUCAGCACAGUUUCCUGCUGUUUCUAAUGAGGCUUCAUAAACAGGUAAGAAAAAGCGCCGUUGGCCCCCUGAUUCCGCCAGGGCCUUCCUGAACCCGGGCUUCCUCUCCCAACAUCCGGUAAAAUUACAUCCUGGCAGCGGCUGGCUGGCAGGUGGCGGGGAGGCUGCUGCUCGUGCUGGUGUCAAGGACAGAGCAUUUGUUCUGCAGCAGACCGGAGAAGGACUUCCAAGGGGCUCUUCCAAAAGCACAGACGCGCUCUAUUUCCAGACCAGAACAAGAAAGGAUGUUGCCUCUUUGGAGCAAUUCUGUCAUCUUUUCUAAGGUUGCUGAACAUAAUAAAACACAGGAUGUCCAGAUGACUCUUCAUAUUGUGAGCAGUCCCAUGGCAAGAAAUCUACAUAAGAUGACCAACUUGUCACCAGGUAGCCCAGGACUUUCCUCGUUUUAGACUGAGAGUCUUGUUCUGCAAACCCCCUCAGUCCUGAGCCAACGAGGAUGGUUGGCCACCCCACACUCAUGUGGUAAGGCACUGAGGCCUUUGGACAACAGUGUGCUAGAAACUGAGGCCUCCUGACAUAGCUGCAUGUGUUGUGCCACCUUGGAAACAGAUCCUCCAGCCCUAGUCAAGCCUUCAAAGGACUACAGCGCCAGCUGACCACUUGCAACCCUAUAAAAGACCCUGAUCCAGAACUACCCAGGUAAGCUAAUUCCAAAUUCCUGAGCUCCCCCAGAAACUGUAUAAGAUAAUAAAUAG